CACAUUCAGUUCAGUGUCUGAUGGAAUCUUUCCCUCUCUGUUUGGUGAACUGGAGCACUAAGUACUAUCAGUUAGGGGAAAACACCCCAAAACAAUUGGCUUAUGUUCCACUGAUCAAGUUACAAAGCAAAACAAAGUGUCCAAGUGAGAAAUAGCUACCAGCUACAAACAGUUUGCGUGGGCCUACCAAAAUAGGUGAUAUAGCGGUCAUUUCCUUUGGUUUGCUUGAUCACUGGAAUUUUGUUAACUUUGAAUGCAUGUCUUUCAAUUAAUUGGGUCAUGUUUUUUCUAAAACUCCAAUUUUUCUUCUUCCUAUAGCCCUGCCAUAGGACAGGCUGAGGCAGAGUCUCAGUGUUGCCCUGUUCAGUCUGAGCAACUAAUGAUGUGCAUUUUCCGUUUGCUUUGUGCCUCGUCCUAAAAGGUAUGUGUGCAGAGUACUGCGGUCUUUCUAGUCCAGAGGAUGGCAUGAUGGCUCUGUGCUGAAAAGGUGCAAGUAUCUGCUCAGCUGUCGGAAUAGCUGCCCUGUUGUCUCUUUAAAACAACCUGAAAAGUUCCCAUUGAUUGCAAAGGGUUCACAGCUUGUUGUUCUGGUGAAUCUCUGUUGGUGACCUCCUUCCUGCCUCGGAUGGAUCUAAGGAGGGUAGUUCCAAAAGAAACUUACACUGUAAAUAGAAUUUAUUGGUUUGGAGGGUUGGUAGCAUUUUUACUGGCAUUCCAGUGCGUGCUGCCAGUAUUGCAGCAGUGUCACAAUUCUCUAUAACACACUGUGGAAUUUCGAUUCUAAUGACUGUCAUAUUUUAGUGAAUUGACUUUCACAGGCAGUAGUGGAAGCAGGUUUUGUAAAGCUUGGUUUUAUUCUUGUGGAGAGCUACAUGACUCUUACACAUUAGAAAUGACUGAAAUUCGGCUAAACUGAGUGAAUUUUAACCCCUGGUGCUGAGAAGAGGUGUGAAGGAGAGAUGUAGGAAAGUACAUAGCACAGCAGGAGUUCUGGUCAGCUUUGGAAUUGUUCUUGCCAUGCCUGAUAACUGCUGUGACCCUUAGUACUCCGAGGAGCAGGCUACCUCCAAACUCAUCUUUUCAAGUACGUAUAUACUUGCAGUCAAGGUAAUGUUAUCAGUGAAAUGCUGGCAGUUGCUUCAGAAGUGCAGUGAUAGUGAGUGCUGCAAUUUGCAGUCAGAACUAAGCGAGGUAAACAGGAGUUUGGGAGUGCGGAGGCUCCGUCCUGAAAGGGAUGGAGUGUGCAUUGGGUGGCUGAAGUGUAAUGUAUAGAGCUGAUUUGUUUGGGAAGUUCUGAAAAAACUUUUUGAUAAUUUUCUUGUAUUCUCAUUUUAAACAGCAGCUUUAUGCAAUCUUUUGAUUAUCAGAGAAUGCAGAUUUUUAUUCAGUCUCUACUGGAAAAAGAUAGAAUUCUAGUACAGAAUUCAGAGAUUCUGUUGUAUAGUGAAUGCACUUCUGCUCCGUGGAAGUUCUUGGGAGGUGUGAGGGAGCCAGGUGCCUCGGCGUGCCACCUCUGCAGCCAGCCACGUCCCGUCCUGAGCUGUGUGCUCCUGGGUGUUAUCCUUCGGUCCUUUGUUCUCAGCGUCCUGAUGAGUCUGUGCUGGUGAGGACUUACAUUUAUACAUCGGAUCUCUGUUGUGAGUAAUAACACACCUUGUCCCUUCUGAACAAGUUUAUGCUGACUUGUUCUAUUGUUUUAGGCUCACCUGCAAUAGUACCAGUCAGCAACACUGCUGCUUCCAUUACAAUGAAUUAAACUUCUCCGCAAAUAAGUCCUGAAUGUACCUUCCUUACUGCUCAUCUUUUGAGUGCAAAUAACGAGUUAACCACUGCGAAUGAUCCCCAUGUUGGCAGUUACGGUGUAUGUAUGUGUUAGGCAACUACCUUACACCAGAUCCAGGUUUCUCGUGUCUCAAAUUUUAUCUUAAAUCUUCCCUACAUCUUAACCACAUUCUCAGGUUCUUUUUAAAGAGGGUAGGUGUCGAAUUUCUACUUCUGCUGCCUUAAGUAGUCAGUAUCUAUAAAUGGUUUUGGCUGGUGGCAACUUAAAAUUACCCCAAAGCAAUGCCGUAAAACUGCAGAAACUGUUUCAGUGUCCCAACUUAGGAAGUAUAUAAUGCUUUGAAAUAAAGAUGUCAUGCAAAGCUUCUUUCUUUCUCUUUGUCCCCCCCACUGUGUUGUAGAAGCGUGUGAUAUGUGCAGGCACUGACUUCCUUAGCUUCUAGUUGAAGAAAAUACAUUUUGCUCUUUCAUUUGUAAAGUCUAGAAUAAGAAAACACUUUAUGAGAGUAUUUAAUGAAGGACCCUGGCAAUGUAAGUAUUGUGAUUUCCUUUCUAUUUGUGUUAGGCAAUGGGGUUACCUUGUUAAACUUCUGGCUUGUGUAUCGAAAUAACAGAAAUGUAAAGGCAAAUUGAAAGUAAUUUUAUAGUUGCCUUCACUUC
rnacentral:lncRNA from 1 species